GACGAACGCUGGCGGCGUGCUUAACACAUGCAAGUCGAACGGAAAGGCCCUGCUUUUGUGGGGUGCUCGAGUGGCGCACGGGUGAGUAACACGUGAGUAACCUGCCCUUGACUUUGGGAUAACUUCAGGAAACUGGGGCUCAUACCGGAUAGGAGCUCCUGCUGCAUGGUGGGGGUUGGAAAGUUUCGGCGGUUGGGGCUGGACUCGCGGCUUAUCAGCUUGUUGGUGGGGUAGUGGCGUACCAAGGCUUUGACGGGUAGCCGGCCUGAGAGGGUGACCGGCCACAUUGGGACUGAGAUACAGCGCAGACUCCUACGGGAGGCAGUAGGGGGGAAUAUUGCACAAUGGGCGGGAGCCUGAUGCAGCAACGCCGCGUGCGGGAUGACGGCCUUCGGGUUGUAAACCGCUUUCGCCUGUGACGAAGCGUGAGUGACGGUAAUGGGUAAAGAAGCACCGGCUAACUACGUG
rnacentral:rRNA from 1 species